CUUUAUUGGAGAGUUUGAUCCUGGCUCAGGACGAACGCUGGCGGCGUGCCUAAUACAUGCAAGUCGAGCGAAUCGGAG
rnacentral:rRNA from 1 species